AUAAAACUUUUUUUAUAAUCUAAAUCAGAUCAUUUUUGACAUUUUUCAUUUGCCAAUAAAAGGCGUGUCUAUGAACUGAUUUUGGCAAUUGAUCCGGAAGUAAGAAGGAGGUCAGUAUAGCUUUCGGUAUCAUAACGGGACGCAUAGGACUACGAGCUCACUUUGGAGACGUUGGAGCAUUUCCUAUGUCAUUGCACGGCUUUCGCGUUUAUCAGAUACAGGCACUUAGGUGGAGACACAAUACCAGACAUGAACCAGCUGAGGGGCAUGGUAUGGAAAACAAUUAGGAAUUUUGGAAGUCGGUUGCGGAUUUGACGGUCAAAAUGAUCCCACAGAUGUUGUAUGGGCUUAACAUCAGACGACUGAGGAGGUG